AUGUUUCUUCGGGGCAGGGUGUAAUUCCCGACCGACGGUGACAAGGCAACUUGAAGUCCGUGACCCGCAAUAUUUGCGGUUGAUCUAGUGUGAAUCUAGAACCGACAGUUAAAGUCUGGAUGGGAGAAGAAAAAC
rnacentral:ncRNA from 2 species